rnacentral:lncRNA from 1 species
GCCAGCCUGGGCUACAUAGUGAGUUCAAGGACAGUCUAAAUGACAUAGUGAGAUCUUGUCUCAGAGAGAGAGAGAGAAAUUUGGACACAGACAUGCACAGAAGGAAAGCAAUGUGAAGAAACACGAAGAGAGGGUAAAAAAGCCAUGUGAUGAUGGAGACGGAGACUGGGGUGAUGCUGCUGCAGGCCAGGGAGCACCUGACACCACCAGAAUCUAGAAAGAGGAAAGGAAGGAUUCUACCCAGAGUCAGAGAGAACAUGGCCCUUCUGACACCUUGAUUUUAGACUUCUCAUCUCCAGAACUCAAGUGAGUGUGGAGUGAAGCACUGUGGAGAGGAUAAGUGCUAAUUGUCCAGCCACUCAUCACUGGACCUCCCACAUGGUGCUAUCGUUGAGUACACACCCCUCAUGGACUUGCUGAACACCACUGUUGAUAAAUACACGUCCCUUGUGGAUCUUCAGAGUAGCACUGUUGGAUCCAUAUGUGCUUCUCAUGGACGCUUCCCUAUUACCACUUGGACAGCUACCACUUUAUCAAUUUAGAUAUUGCCACAAUUCACAUCCUGCAAUGGUAUCAUAUAUAGCAAAGUGGCCUUGAAGGGAUUAUAGGAAAUCAUCCUAGGGAUAGUAAGACAGGAGAUUCGGGCAUGGCCAACUGGCUGGGCAAAUGGGAGUAACCUGUCAAUCACAGAGAUCCAGUCCACAUACAUAGAAAACAGUUCUCAUGCCCUAAACUUGGGACUAAUAAGAAAGUGCUACUUUCAAUUCUGGUGCAAAAUAAGCAGGUUUGAAGAAUGGAG